rnacentral:antisense_RNA from 1 species
CUUGAGCGAGCCCAGCCUCAGCGGCCGCUCACGAUCCUGGCCGUAGGUGGCCAGCAGCGCCUGCGCCUC